AUACGGGGGGUGCAAGCGUUGUUCGGAUUUAUUGGGCGUAAAGCGAGCGCAGGCGGUUUGAUAAGUCUGAAGUUAAAGGCUGUGGCUCAACCAUAGUUCGCUUUGGAAACUGUCAGACUUGAAUACGGGAGAGGGUAGUGGAAUUCCUAGUGUAGGAGUGAAAUCCGUAGAUAUUAGGAGGAACACCGGUGGCGAAGGCGGCUACCUGGACCGAUAUUGACGCUGAGACGCGAAAGCGUGGGUAGC
rnacentral:rRNA from 1 species